rnacentral:misc_RNA from 1 species
GAAAUGCGAUAAGUAAUGUGAAUUGCAGAAUUCAGUGAAUCAUCGAAUCUUUGAACGCAGCUUGCGCUCCUUGGUAUUCCUUGGAGCAUGCCUGUUUGAUUAUCAUGAAAUCUUCAAAGUAAAUCUUUUGUUAACUCAAUUGGUUUCUACUUUGGUAUUGGAGGUCUUUGCAGCUUCACACCUGCUCCUCUUUGUUCAUUAGCUGGAUCUCAGUGUUAUGCUUGGUUCCACUCGGCGUGAUAAGUUAUCUAUCGCUGAGGACACUGUAAAAGGUGGCCAAGGUAAAUGCAGAUGAACCGCUUCUAAUAGUCCAUUGACUUGGACAAUACUUUUAUGAUCUGAUCUCAAAUCAGGUAGGACUACCCGCUGAACUUAAGC